CACACACACACACACACCCACACCCACCCACACACACACACACACACUCACUCACUCACGCCGCUCCCCGCCAGCAGCCGCCUCCCUUGAAAGGCGAUCUCCCGCUGUUUCUCCCUCGCCGCUCUUUCCUCGGCUCUGGGAUUCCCAACCUCCUGUAAACUGCACCUGGCCACCCUGAACGCAGCGGACCUUCUAACAGUCAAGUGGGUGCGGGAUGGCACGGGAGAGGGGCGUGAGACGAGGGGGAAAUGCCAGCCAGGCCAAGCGGGGCACAUCACCACCCAGUUCCAUGCCACUCCACCCGGCGUUCAAGCUCCCACCCCGGAGCUUGAAUCAAGUCAUGUUUUUAGUGCGUUCACAUGGGCCAAGGGCCUGCUGGGAUCCUAAAAUGGAAGGGAAAGUUUGCAGAGACUUUAAAGCUUUCCCGAGGAGCUCCUGCCUAAGGCGUCGGUGUGCAGCCCAAGCCCCCUUGCUGCGGGCCCCGACCCUGGCACUCACGACCCGCCUGGCGGUCGCUGCCCGGGUCCCAAGUGCCCUCCGAGCCCCAAGCUCUCGGAGCCGCGCUCCCAGAGUCGCGCAGGGGCUCGGGAACAGAAUCCAUCAAGAAGCCUCUAGUCCACCACAAAGCACACCCGAGCAGUUCCAAGGGAAGGGGGCCCAGAGCGCCCCAGGAGAUAUCUUUCCACAACCUUCUGCGGAGACCCGGGGUCGCCUCGUCUCCAGGGACGAAGCCAGCAGUCCCCUUACACUUGACUUUCUUGUUGCGGUGGGGAGGAUAUAGGAAGCUACUGGAGGUGCCGGAGCCGCCCCCCCCCCCCAACCCCCAAAGUGCCCUGGGCUCUGAGCAAAGACCCGUCCUCACAAGCACGCGGUCCAGGCCAGGACCCUGUGCACGGUAGGACGCAGGGGGCCACGGCGUUCUAAUCUGGACUCCUGGCCGCUUCCGCGGCGGCCCGCUGGAGUUUCUCCCACGGAGGUCGGCCCAGCAGCGGGCCACCGGCGUCUCGCCUCCCGCCCUGACAUGCAGACUUGGGGGGGCGCUGCACACAGCAACCGAUCCGGAGCGCAAAAUCUGCGUGCCGCGUGGGAGACGCGCGCGGGAGGGGCCGGGUUGGGCUCGCGUUUUUCCUUUUCAGAAGCUUUCGAGUUGACUGCGAAGUUUUCUGGAAACAGCAAGCCGUCUGAGAAGACGGAAUUUCCAACGUGUAAAAUGUUCUUAACGGAACCAUUGAGCGAGUGCAAUAAGGCGUGAGGGGGAACUAAUCUUCCCAUUUAAAUGUUUGUGGCAAUUUUAUCUAAAUGAAUUUUAAUGCUAAACGAGGGUAAUUCCCCAUUUGUAGCGCGUUUACUUCUCUUUCCUGUGCUUCUAAAGCAGUCGAACAUCAUGCAAUGAACAAUAACAAUAAAAAUACUGUCAAGGCAUAUUAUUCAUUUCGAAUGUGUUAUAAUUACAGCUGAUUAAAUAUGAUAGGGUAAAAUAUUUUUAGUUUUCUUUAAAAAAAUAUUUAAAUCAUACUAAAAAGUCUCAUUCAACCAGCACCCCCCCCCCCAAUAAAAAUAAAAAGCAGGUACAAUUGUGUGCCCUUGUUUAGAAGAGGGCGUUUUGUUUUUGCCUUUUAAGAAACAUCAAAAACACCCUCAGCACCUCUAUUCUUUCUUUCUUUCAGAUAAGUGUCCUCCAUAACCUCCGAGCUGGCUCUGAAAUUUACAAGAGGAAAGCUAACAUCGCAUUAAGGGGGAGUGGGGGUGUCCAGGCAAGGGGAGAAAAAGGAUCUGCGGAGAGCAAGGCCCUCACAAAACCGCCACACAGAGCAGGGAACACGGGGAAAGAACACAGUUUGUUUUAUUUUUUCUAAUUCACUGGACACUAAUGGUCGCGAUUCUUCAUAGUCUCCAUAUUCCCUGAUUCUUCUUCACUGGUACCCUACUCCUUCUCCUAGUGCCCGCCUCUCUCCACUCCCCCCUUCCCAUCUCUCUCUCUCUCCCUCUCUGUCUCCCUCCCUCCCUCCCUCCUCCCCUUUCUUUCCCUCCCCCAACCAGCGAGAGCACCGUCGAGAAGAAAGGCUGAAAAUAACCUACUCACCCAAGCUUGUACUGGGGAGGAGGGGCAAAUGGAUGGGUAGUUUAUAAAGUUUAUUAUUAAUUUUUAAAGUAAAUAAAUGGUUGUUCACCGCCACUAA